GACGAACGCUGGCGGCGCGCCUAACACAUGCAAGUCGAACGGAGAUCAUUUGGUAGAAGUUUUCGGAUGGACACCGGGUGAUCUUAGUGGCGAACGGGUGAGUAACGCGUGAGCAAUCUGCCUCAGAGUGGGGGACAACAGUUGGAAACGACUGCUAAUACCGCAUAAGCCCACAGCACCGCAUGGUGCAGGGGGAAAAGGAGCAAUCCGCUGAAAGAUGGGCUCGCGUCCGAUUAGAUAGUUGGUGAGGUAACGGCUCACCAAGUCGACGAUCGGUAGCCGGACUGAGAGGUUGAACGGCCACAUUGGGACUGAGACACGGCCCAGACUCCUACGGGAGGCAGCAGUGGGGAAUAUUGCACAAUGGGCGAAAGCCUGAUGCAGCAACGCCGCGUGAGGGAGACGGUUUUCGGAUUGUAAACCUCUGUUUUUCGGUGACGAACAAAUGACGGUACCUGACUAAGAAGCUCCGGCUAAAUACGUGCCAGCAGCCGACGG
rnacentral:rRNA from 1 species